rnacentral:rRNA from 1 species
AUUCCAGCUCUGUAAGCGUAUACCAAAGUUGUUGCAGUUAAAACGCUCGUAGUCGAACCUUGGCGUGAGUUACGGAGCCUCCUAAUGGACGUCGAAGUAACUCCGCCUUUGUGGAGGGGGGUGUGGUGUUACUUCAUUGUAUUGCCGCAUUUCCGCCACUGUUUAUUGUGAAAAAAUUAGAGUGUUCAAAGCGAGCGUUUGCCAUGAAUACAUUAGCAUGGAAUAAUAGAAUAGGACCUGGUCCUGUUUUAUUGGUUUGUCAGUAUCAGGUAAUGAUUAACAGGGACGGUCGGGGGCAUUUGUAUUCCAGCGUUAGAGGUGAAAUUCUUGGAUCGCUGGAAGACAAACAGCUGCGAAAGCGUCUGCCAAGGACGUUUUCAUCA